rnacentral:tRNA from 1 species
GCUAGCGUAGCUCAACGGCAGAGCUCUCGCCUUGUAAGCGAGGGGUUGUGGGUUCGAUUCCCACCGCUAGCU